rnacentral:rRNA from 1 species
AUGAACGCUGGCGGCGUGCCUAAUCCCUGCCAGUCGAGCGAACAGACGAGGAGCUUGCUCCUCUGACGUUAGCGGCGGACGGGUGAGUAACACGUGGAUAACCUACCUAUAAGACUGGGAUAACUUCGGGAAACCGGAGCUAAUACCGGAUAAUAUAUUGAACCGCAUGGUUCAAUAGUGAAAGACGGUUUUGCUGUCACUUAUAGAUGGAUCCGCGCCGCAUUAGCUAGUUGGUAAGGUAACGGCUUACCAAGGCAACGAUGCGUAGCCGACCUGAGAGGGUGAUCGGCCACACUGGAACUGAGACACGGUCCAGACUCCUACGGGAGGCAGCAGUAGGGAAUCUUCCGCAAAGGGCGAAAGCUUGACGGAGCAACGCCGCGUGAGUGAUGAAGGUCUUCGGAUCGUAAAACUCUGUUAUUAGGGAAGAACAAAUGUGUAAGUAACUAUGCACGUCUUGACGGUACCUAAUCAGAAAGCCACGGCUAACUACGUG